rnacentral:rRNA from 1 species
CGUAAAGACGCAUGCAGGUGGUUUGUUAAGUCAGAUGUGAAAGCCCGGGGCUCAACCUCGGAACUGCAUUUGAAACUGGCAGACUAGAGUACUGUAGAGGGGGGUAGGAAUUUCAGGUGUAGCGGUGAAAAUGCGUAGAGAUCUGAAGGAAUACCGGUGGCGAAGGCGGCCCCCUGGACAGAUACUGACACUCAGAUGCGAAAGCGUGGGGAGCAAACAGGAUUAGAUACCCUGGUAG